GACGAACCGUGCGAACGUUGUUCGGAAUCACUGGGCUUAAAGGGCGCGUAGGCGGGCUCGCCAGUCAGGGGUGAAAUCCCACGGCUCAACCGUGGCAGUGCCUUUGAUACUGCGGGCCUGGAGGGAGGUAGGGGCGUGCGGAACUUCCGGUGGAGCGGUGAAAUGCGUAGAUAUCGGAAGGAACACCGGUGGCGAAAGCGGCGCGCUGGACCUCUUCUGACGCUGAGGCGCGAAAGCCAGGGGAGCAAACGGG
rnacentral:rRNA from 1 species